rnacentral:rRNA from 1 species
UUGACAUCCCUGACCGUCGUAUGAAAGUACGUUUUCACCCUCGGGUGACAGGGAGACAGGUGGUGCAUGGUUGUCGUCAGCUCGUGUCGUGAGAUGUUGGGUUAAGUCCCGCAACGAGCGCAACCCCUACGUUUAGUUGCUAACGCGUGAAGGCGAGCACUCUAGACGAACUGCCGUUGACAAAACGGAGGAAGGUGGGGAUGACGUCAAAUCAUCAUGCCCCUUAUGUUCUGGGCUACACACGUGCUACAAUGGCCGGUACAGACGGACGCAAAGCCGCGAGGUGGAGCAAAUCCUAAAAAGCCGGUCUCAGUUCGGAUUGCAGGCUGCAAUUCGCCUGCAUGAAGUCGGAAUCGCUAGUAAUCGCAGGUCAGCAUACUGCGGUGAAUACGUUCCCGGGCCUU